rnacentral:rRNA from 1 species
ACGGGAGGCAGCAGUGAGGAAUAUUGGUCAAUGGGCGGAAGCCUGAACCAGCCAAGUCGCGUGAAGGAUGAAGGUAUUAUGUAUUGUAAACUUCUUUAGACGUAGAGAAAUAAGGUGCUCGUGAGCACUGAUGCUAGUAUACGUAGAAUAAGGAUCGGCUAAUUCCGUGCCAGCAGCCGCGGUAAUACGGAAGAUGCGAGCGUUAUCCGGAUUUAUUGGGUUUAAAGGGAGCGUAGGCGGUCCUUUAAGUCAGCGGUCAAAUGUCAGUGCCCAACGCUGGCCUGCCGUUGAUACUGGAGGACUUGAAUACACACAAGGAAGGUGGAAUUCGUCGUGUAGCGGUGAAAUGCUUAGAUAUGACGAAGAACUCCGAUUGCGAAGGCAGCCUUCUGGAGUGCGAUUGACGCUGAGGCUCGAAAGCGCGGGUAUCAAACAGGAUUAGAUACCCUGGUA